GACUAAAACUUCGGUGCCUCAAGAGGGUGCUGCGGGCUAUCAGCUUGUUGGUGGGGUAAUGGCCUACCAAGGCUAAGACGGCUAGGGGGCGUGAGAGCGCGACCCCCCACAAUGGAACUGAGACACGGUCCAUACUCCUACGGGAGGCAGCAGUGAGGAAUAUUGCGCAAUGGGGGAAACCCUGACGCAGCAACGCCGCGUGAACGAUGAAGGCCUUCGGGUCGUAAAGUUCUUUUCUAAGGGAAGAUAGUGACGGUACCUUAGGAAUAAGUCCCGGCUAACUACGUGCCAGCAGCCGCGGUAAAACGUAGGGGGCGAGCGUUAUCCGGAUUUAUUGGGCGUAAAGCGCACGUAGGUGGCGCUGUAAGUUAGACGUGAAAGCUCUCGGCUCAACUGAGAGAGGUCGUUUAAAACUGCAGUGCUUGAGGUUAGAAGAGGAGAGCAGAAUUCCCGGUGUAGUGGUGGAAUGCGUAGAUAUCGGGAGGAAUACCAGUGGCGAAGGCGGCUCUCUAGUCUACACCUGACACUGAGGUGCGAAAGCGUGGGUAGCGAACGGGAUUAGAUACCCCGGUAGUCCACGCUGUAAACGAUGGAUACUAGGUGUAGGGGGUCAUUUAACCCCUCUGUGCCGAAGCAAACGCGUUAAGUAUCCCGCCUGGGGACUACGGCCGCAAGGUUAAAACUCAAAGGAAUUGACGGGGGCCCGCACAAGCAGCGGAGCGUGUGGUUUAAUUCGAUGAUACGCGAAGAACCUUACCUGGGCUGAACUACGUGGUAGUAGUGAAGCGAAAGCGGAUCGACCCUUCGGGGAGCCUCGAUAGGUGCUGCAUGGCUGUCGUCAGCUCGUGUCGUGAGAUGUUGGGUUAAGUCCCGCAACGAGCGCAACCCUCGUCGCUAGUUACAAGUGUCUAGCGAGACUGCCGGUAUCAAACCGGAGGAAGGUGGGGAUGACGUCAAGUCAGCAUGGUCUUUAUGUCCAGGGCUACACACACGCUACAAUGGUCGGUACAAUAGGUUGCCACACCGCGAGGUGGAGCUAAUCCUCAAAGCCGAUCUCAGUUCGGAUUGUAGUCUGCAACUCGACUACAUGAAGGCGGA
rnacentral:rRNA from 1 species